GAGGAAUAUUGGUCAAUGGGUGCAAGCCUGAACCAGCCAUCCCGCGUGAAGGACGACUGCCCUAUGGGUUGUAAACUUCUUUUGUAUAGGGAUAAACCUACCCUCGUGAGGGUAGCUGAAGGUACUAUACGAAUAAGCACCGGCUAACUCCGUGCCAGCAGCCGCGGUAAUACGGAGGGUGCAAGCGUUAUCCGGAUUUAUUGGGUUUAAAGGGUCCGUAGGCGGACUUAUAAGUCAGUGGUGAAAGCCUGUCGCUUAACGAUAGAACUGCCAUUGAUACUGUAAGUCUUGAGUAUAUUUGAGGUAGCUGGAAUAAGUAGUGUAGCGGUGAAAUGCAUAGAUAUUACUUAGAACACCAAUUGCGAAGGCAGGUUACCAAGAUAUAACUGACGCUGAGGGACGAAAGCGUGGGGAGCGAAC
rnacentral:rRNA from 2 species